GGCCUAACACAUGCAAGUCGAGCGGUAACAGGACUAGCUUGCUAGUUGCUGACGAGCGGCGGACGGGUGCGUAACACGUAGGAAUCUGCCCGGUAGUGGGGGAUAGCCCGGAGAAAUCCGGAUUAAUACCGCAUACGCCUUACGAGGGAAAGGAGGGGCCUCUUCGGAGCCUUUCGCUAUCGGAUGAGCCUGCGUCGGAUUAGCUAGUUGGUGGGGUAAAGGCCUACCAAGGCGACGAUCCGUAGCUGGUCUGAGAGGAUGAUCAGCCACACUGGGACUGAGACACGGCCCAGACUCCUACGGGAGGCAGCAGUGGGGAAUAUUGCACAAUGGGGGAAACCCUGAUGCAGCCAUGCCGCGUGUGUGAAGAAGGCUCUAGGGUUGUAAAGCACUUUCAGCGAGGAGGAAAGGUUGCUGGUNAAUACCCAGCGGCUGUGACGUUACUCGCAGAAGAAGCACCGNCUAACUCCGUGCCAGCAGCCGCGGUAAUACGGAGGGUGCGAG
rnacentral:rRNA from 1 species